rnacentral:rRNA from 1 species
GGGGAAUCUUCCGCAAUGGACGAAAGUCUGACGGAGCAACGCCGCGUGAGUGAUGACGGCCUUCGGGUUGUAAAGCUCUGUUAAUCGGGACGAAAGGCCUUCUUGCGAAUAGUGAGAAGGAUUGACGGUACCGGAAUAGAAAGCCACGGCUAACUACGUGCCAGCAGCCGCGGUAAUACGUAGGUGGCAAGCGUUGUCCGGAAUUAUUGGGCGUAAAGCGCGCGCAGGCGGAUAGGUCAGUCUGUCUUAAAAGUUCGGGGCUUAACCCCGUGAUGGGAUGGAAACUGCCAAUCUAGAGUAUCGGAGAGGAAAGUGGAAUUCCUAGUGUAGCGGUGAAAUGCGUAGAUAUUAGGAAGAACACCAGUGGCGAAGGCGACUUUCUGGACGAAAACUGACGCUGAGGCGCGAAAGCCAGGGGAGCGAACGGGAUUAGAUACCCCGGUAGUCCUGGCCGUAAACGAUGGGUACUAGGUGUAGGAGGUAUCGACCCCUUCUGUGCCGGAGUUAACGCAAUAAGUACCCCGCCUGGGGAGUACGACCGCAAGGUUG